rnacentral:rRNA from 1 species
UGGGGAAUUUUGGACAAUGGGCGAAAGCCUGAUCCAGCCAUUCCGCGUGCAGGAUGAAGGCCCUCGGGUUGUAAACUGCUUUUGUACGGAACGAAAAGGCUUCCUCUAAUACAGGGGGCUCAUGACGGUACCGUAAGAAUAAGCACCGGCUAACUACGUGCCAGCAGCCGCGGUAAUACGUAGGGUGCAAGCGUUAAUCGGAAUUACUGGGCGUAAAGCGUGCGCAGGCGGUUAUGUAAGACAGAUGUGAAGUCCCCGGGCUCAACCUGGGAACUGCAUUUGUGACUGCAUAGCUAGAGUACGGUAGAGGGGGAUGGAAUUCCGCGUGUAGCAGUGAAAUGCGUAGAUAUGCGGAGGAACACCGAUGGCGAAGGCAAUCCCCUGGACCUGUACUGACGCUCAUGCACGAAAGCGUGGGGAGCAAACAGGAUUAGAUACCCCCGUAGUCCCUGAGCGGGCUGGCAAGGCGCAU